AAAAGCUUCCAUGUAAAAUAGAUUCUCUUCAUGGUUCUUUUAUCAAGUUGGUUUCUGCUUCCAAAUUUCAUAGUGUAGCUGUAAGUGCUCGUGGGCAAGUCUAUACCUGGGGUUUUGGAAGGGGAGGCCGGCUUGGACACCCGGACUUCGACAUUCACAGUGGUCAAGCUGCGGUUAUCACCCCUCGGCAGGUGAUUUUUGGUUUAGGUUCCCGCCGUGUG
rnacentral:misc_RNA from 1 species